rnacentral:rRNA from 1 species
CCUACGGGUGGCAGCAGUGAGGAAUCUUGGUCAAUGGGCUUACGCCUGAACCAGCAAAGUCGCGUGAAUGAAGACUGCCCUCUGGGUUGUAAACCUCUUUUGUCAGGAAGCAACGCCGGCUACGUGUAGCCGAACUGAGAGUACCUGAAGAAAACGCAUCGGCUAACUCCGUGCCAGCAGCCGCGGUAUUACGGAGGAUGCGAGCGUUAUCCGGAUUUAUUGGGGUUAAAGGGUGCGUAGGCGGAAUGCCAAGUCAGCGGGAAAAUCGCGGGGCUCAACCUCGCUCCGCCGUUGAAACUGGCGUUCUUGAGUGGGCGAGAAGUAUGCGGAAUGCGUGGUGUAGCGGUGAAAUGCAUAGAUAUCACGCAGAACUCCGAUUGCGAAGGCAGCAUACCGGCGCCCAACUGACGCUGAAGCACGAAAGCGUGGGUAUCGAACAGGAUUAGAUACCCCUGUAGUC